CCUAUCGCUUAACUUUGCCUGAAUAGAAAAUGUAAUGCUAAUCACAAUGUAAAUAACAUACUAGAAUGAAUUGUGUUAAAAGUUCCAGCGCAUUUUAAAUUUUGGAUUAGGGUUUGACCUCGGUCCGUCCGCGGCUAUCGUGGACUGACAGGGAGACGUUUUGCAUCCCGUGAGAUCCAGCAGAUGGUAGUGUUUACAAACUGUAGAUCCCUCCCCACAGUAAAUAACUGAUUUACUCAGCCCACCUGUUCAACCCCGGCACCUCAUCUUGCACCAACUGUGCCCAUUUUAAACACAAGUGUCUUUAUAAGUGUUGCCUAAAGAGUAGCAUAGAUUGAAUUUCAUUGAAAAAGAAUGCCAAAUAUGAUAGGCUAGUUCAUAAAAAAAUGCCCGUUAGACGAUGUUUGUCAGAGCGAGACUUUGCCUGCCUUGUUUACGGGCCUGAUGCAUUCUGCUAGCAAUAGCCUAAACAGUAAAAGGAACCCAUUAACUAAACCAGGUCGCAAGAUUUGAACAGGAAUUGUGACUUCCAGGCCCACAUCGUUAAGCUAUUCGGCGAACUCGCUCUAACAAUGUUUACCAGAAGAUUAGCGAAUCGCACAAACUUUAUAACGAGGGUCUUCCGCAAUAUCCUUCCUUUUUGAAGUAAUUUAGGACUGUAAAAAAAGCUGGGCUGAAGGAUUCUGUAUUGAGAAAGUACUAAUCAAUGAGGGCGUUUUUCGAUCCAAACCGCCUCCUGUCCCUGCGCAGUGACGCAGCCACGCUUUACUGAAAGCGAUGGCGGACCGCUGUGUCCCUAGACUAGACCAGACACCGGAGGGAGAAAGUCAGUGAGGGAUUUUCACCGUGUUCAUUUUAGUCAUCAAACCACCUGUUAAGGGGAGGGAGGCCACCGUGGUACACCGCUGCCAUCCCUCCCACGAAACAGUAGGUAAUGUGGGACGUUGGGGUUUGUCAGGAAGACGUUUUCCGGGACAAGGUAUAGGCAGAGCGCACACGGCACCGCGCAGCCUGACGCACGCGGGCAAGCCAAGUUGACAGAAAUAACAAAACUCGCUUCAACAAGGGACAGUCGCACGAGGAAUUAACGGACGUUGAGGAGAUUGCUGUUUUUUCAAAAUGAAAUUCGCGGAGCACCUUUCGGCCCAUAUCACUCCGGAGUGGAGGAAGCAGUACAUUCAGUAUGAGGCGUUCAAGGAUAUGCUGUAUGCAGCUCAAGAUCAAGCUCCCUCCAUAGAAGGUAUGAAGUUCCUCUUUUGCUGGUCUGGACACACACACACACACACACAGUACUGUGCAAAAGUCUUAGACACCAAAGAUUUUUUACAUGAAUAUUGUCUUAAAUGUCUAUUUUGUUGUUUUGUGUAAUUGUGCGGCAGUGCAAUGUUGAGAACAUUUUUUGUUGAGUCUUUUCAUGUCAUUAUUUUGCAAAGCAUUUUUGUGCAACUUAUUUUUUGUUGUUGUUUGGUUGUGCGCUUAAGACUUUGGCUGAGUGCUGUACACACGCCGCCCCUAGCCCCUAGAUGUUCAGGUACAGAAGAACAUCCAGUAUGAUUCAUAGGUUCUUUCCCGUCCGUGGUGCUAGGACUGUGUGUGUGUGUGUGUGUGUGUCUUGUUGGCUGUAACCUAUGAGCUGUCUUUCCCCUUUAAACCCUCUCCUGAGGCUAUUAGAACUGCCGUACGACCCACCAUGGCUGAUAGAUUACACCCUGUCACACGCAAACACACACACACAAGCCGUUGUCAUGGGGGAUCAGGGUGAGGUCAGGCCUGUCGACAGUAGCUGUCAGCCACAGUGAGGACCCAGAGAGGACAGACCUGGGGAUCAAUCAUCCCCUCGUGACUGUCCAUACACACGUUAUGACACCUGGGAUCAGACGCAGAGAAGGAGAGAGAGGGAUGGAACGAGCUUCACAGAAAAGAAGAGGAAAGAGAGAAGAAAGAAAGAAAGAAGAAGAUGUGGAGCCGUGUGUUGUCCAGUCAGUUGGUGUUGUGGUGAAGAUGAUGGAACACUAGCUGACUGCGUCGUUACCCCACACACCAACGCCUCAGUGUCCAGCCUGAUUGAGUUCCACCAGUUGAUGAUUUCAUUAAGUCGCCUCCCAGUGAAAGACUAAUUAUGGGAAUCUGAUUUAGGUUAUGGCGGUUUUUCCUCUGUUC